UACAGAGGUGGCAAGCGUUGUUCGGAUUCAUUGGGCGUAAAGGGUGCGUAGGCGGCGCGGUAAGUCGGGUGUGAAAUCUCGGAGCUUAACUCCGAAACUGCAUUCGAUACUGCCGUGCUUGAGGACUGGGGAGGAGACUGGAAUUUACGGUGUAGCGGUGAAAUGCGUAGAUAUCGUAAGGAAGACCAGUGGCGAAGGCGGGUCUCUGGACAGUUCCUGACGCUGAGGCACGAAGGUCAGGGGAGCAAACGGG
rnacentral:rRNA from 1 species